UGCUGGGCCUGUGUGGAAUAGAAAGACGGUUAUCUCUGUGGGAAGGAAGGAAAAGGGACGACUCCUCGAGGUUUCCAAGGAGGACUGGAGCGGCUGCUUGAGUGAAGAAAUGAAGAGUCAAAGAAGCAAUGGACCUGCUUCAAAGUCACACCACUAAAUUUCAGGAGCCUACUGAAAGGAGAUGACAAGGGAUGACCCACCUUAGACCCAAGUUAUCAAGGAAACCUACACCAGGUUGAUGCCAAGC